rnacentral:rRNA from 1 species
AUUGAACGCUGGCGGAAUGCUUUACACAUGCAAGUCGAGCGGCAGCACGGGGGCAACCCUGGUGGCGAGCGGAGAACGGGUGAGUAAUGUAUCGGAACGUGCCCAGUCGUGGGGGAUAACUACUCGAAAGAGUGGCUAAUACCGCAUACGACCGUAGGGUGAAAGCGGGGGACCGUAAGGCCUCGGGCGAUUGGAGCGGCGGAUAUCAGAUUAGCUAGUUGGUGGGGUAAAAGCCCACCAAGGCGACGAUCUGUAGCUGGUCUGAGAGGACGACCAGCCACACUGGGACUGAGACACGGCCCAGACUCCUACGGGAGGCAGCAGUGGGGAAUUUUGGACAAUGGACGAAAGUCUGAUCCAGCCAUGCCGCGUGCGGGAAGAAGGCCUUCGGGUUGCAAACCGCUUUUGUCAGGGAAGAAACGAGUUUCUCUAAUACAGAGACUUAAUGACGGUACCUGAAGAAUAAGCACCGGCUAACUACGUGCCAGCAGCCGCCGUAACAC